rnacentral:sRNA from 1 species
AGCUCCGCGGUAAUGGAGGCUAGGGAUGGGUGCUGAAGUAUCAGGCUCUGGCUCUAGCUUUAGCUCUGGCACUGGAACUGCCUCGGAGUCUGGGUCUGAGUCUGGCAGCCCGAAGCCUGGACACCUUUUCUUGAUUCUCUAGGCGGGGGCUGCCUGCGUCCAAGCAGCUGGUUUGCAGCGUUCCAACGCUGGGAGGGAGUUCCCUUACCUGGGGUCCAGUCUGUAAAGUUGUCGCCGCUUUCUAGGGAUCCCGCCCCACCGGCUGGGACUCUUCCAUGCAGUUGAAACUGGUUGACAACCAUUAACCUGGGUUGCAACUACAGGUGGCACUGGAAGCAGACUGGUUCCUGGACAUGCCCGGUGGAAGGAGGGGCCCUAGUCGGCAACAGCUAAGCCGUUCAGCUUUACCUUCUUUGCAGACUUUGGUUGGUGGAGGCUGUGGCAAUGGAACAGGCUUGAGAAACAGUACAUCAACAUUUAUAAAACAGUGUGGUGGUAUCCUUACAAUCAUCCUGCUUCUUGUACAUCACUGAAUUUUCAUCUCAUUGAUUAUC